GGCGACCACCGCUAUUGGAAUCCGCUUAAGACAUGCGAGUUGAGAGGGUUAGACCCUCGGCAUACUGCUCAGUAACACGCGGACAAUCUGCCCUUCGGUGGGGGAUAAUCUCGGGAAACUGAGCAUAAUACCCCAUAGGCCACGGAUGCUGGAAUGCUUCGUGGCUGAAAGCUCCGGCGCCAAAGGAUGAGUCUGCGGCCUAUCAGGUAGUAGUGGGUGUAACGGACCCACUAGCCAGUGACGGGUACGGGCGUUGGGAGACGUCGCCCGGAGAUGGAUUCUGAGACACGAAUCCAGGCCCUACGGGGCGCAGCAGUCGCGAAAACUUGUCAAUGCGGGAAACCGCGAACAGGGGAGUCCAAGUGCAUGCGCUAUGCGUAUGCUGUUCGGUUGCCUAAAAAGCAGCUGAAGGAAGGGCUGGGUAAGACAGGUGCCAGCCGCCGCGGUAAUACCUGCAGCCCGAGUGGUGGUCAAUAUUAUUGAGCCUAAAGCGUCCGUAGCCG
rnacentral:rRNA from 1 species